GGGCUGUUGGCGCAGUGGUAGCGUAUGUAAAUGGUACUGGCCUUUGCAUGAAUCACCUAACGAAUUCCCAGGCGUCCGCUUUGCACCUCUGAUACAUCGCCUCGUCGUGAUAUCACCAGAACCGUAAAAUGCGGAAGGUCGAGGUUUCGAUCACCUCAUAGUCCA
rnacentral:tRNA from 1 species